GACGAGCGCUGGCGGCGUGCUUAACACAUGCAAGUCGAACGGAAAGGCCCUGCUUUUGUGGGGUGCUCGAGUGGCGAACGGGUGAGUAACACGUGAGUAACCUGCCCUUGACUUUGGGAUAACUUCAGGAAACUGGGGCUAAUACCGGAUAGGAGCUCCUGCUGCAUGGUGGGGGUUGGAAAGUUUCGGCGGUUGGGGAUAGACUCGCGGCUUAUCAGCUUGUUGGUGGGGUAGUGGCUUACCAAGGCUUUGACGGGUAGCCGGCCUGAGAGGGUGACCGGCCACAUUGGGACUGAGAUACGGCCCAGACUCCUACGGGAGGCAGCAGUGGGGAAUAUUGCACAAUGGGCGGAAGCCUGAUGCAGCAACGCCGCGUGCGGGAUGACGGCCUUCGGGUUGUAAACCGCUUUCGCCUGUGACGAAGCGUGAGUGACGGUAAUGGGUAAAGAAGCACCGGCUAACUACGUG
rnacentral:rRNA from 1 species